rnacentral:rRNA from 1 species
AUUGAACGCUGGCGGCAGGCCUAACACAUGUAAGUCGAACGAGUGGCGGACGGGUGAGUAAUGUCUGGGAAACUGCCCGAUGGAGGGGGAUAACUCCUGGAAACGGUAGCUACUACCGCAUACCAUCGGAUGUGCCCAGAUGGGAUUAGCUAGUAGGUGGGGUAACGGCUCACCUAGGCGACGAUCCCUAGCUGGUCUGAGAGGAUGACCAGCAACACUGGAACUGAGACACGGUCCAGACUCCUACGGGAGGCAGCAGUGGGGAAGAUUGCACAAUGGGCGCAAGCCUGAUGCAGCCAUGCCGCGGGUAUGAAGAAGGCCUUCGGGUUGUAAAGCACUUUCAGCGAGGAGGCGUUAAUCGCAGAAGAAGCACCGGCUAACUCCGUGCCAGCAGCCGCGGUAAUUC